ACCCUUUCAUAUUUUAUCUUAAGGCACCUUCAUCCUUUCUUAUUCCAUCAGUUUACUUAAACUACUUGAAUACACUGAAGGAAAAGCUGUGGUUUAAAUUGCACAAUAAAAAUUUAUUUUGCUUUGGUUUUAGGUCUUCAGGUUUUGUUCUUACUUUUACACUUUUACUGGAAACAGGAAAGCAGAUAGAAACUUAUCUGAAAUAUACAUAAUAUACAUACUCUUUAUACUAUUUUUUUUUCCAGAGCAGAGUGGAAACCGGUAGUAUUUGAAAUAUAAAGCAUGAAAAUUAGUCGUUUCAAAUAUACCUGAGUAACUUUGAAGAGAGAGUGACAGAGACCAAAAUUUAGGCUCCUAAUUUGGUCAGGUACUUUAUAGCACGCAAUAGUGUUGUGCUGUGUAUUUGGUCUAGACAUCAAAAAAUAAUUGACUCAGUCUGAGCUAAAAAAGUGUCCAUGUACUAAUUGCAUAUAAUUUUAACUUAUUUUAGAAAUAUGAUCAAGAUAGUGACUCUCCUUCACAUGAAAAAACACCAUGGCAUUUGACAUUUUGACAAAAUAGUCUUUUGUUGAAAAAAUGGGUAACUGUAGCCAAUUAGGGUCAGUGACUGCAGACAAACAUAAACAUGCUUCAAAGGUGCCCCUCAUUUCUCUAUUUCCUUGCACUGCCAGGAGCUUCUUUCACCUUCAGAGAGCCUUGCAGACACUCACCUGCCCUGGCAAAGCGACCAGACUGUCCCACCAAUCCCAGCCCAGCUGUACAGAAUAGGGGUUCAGGGUUUUGAGAGGAAGUACUAAAUGAGGACUUCACUGUGAUUUGAUUUAAAGACUUCUAAAGCAGUAUGACAUUUUUAGGCAAAAUGUUAUACUGAGGAUUAUUACUAAUAGUGACUUCAUGCAUGCAUUCAAAGACCUGCAGAUGACUGUUGAUCUUUUACAUCUGCUGGACGAUAACACCAAGUACAGUUUCUGCAUGCAGAUUUGUUUAGGGAUGUUCGGUAAUUUUAUGUAUGCAGACAGUGUGAUUCCUAUCUCUGGUUUACCAAUGGGUCUACAAAGCCUCUCAGAAAGAUUAAUUACAGCUCACAUCAAUUUUGGCCUCUAGAUGUCAUGUAAAGAACAUAACACCAAAGACAAAGCAAAAGAAUUUUGAUUAUGUCCAUCAGAGAAAGAAGGAAGAAUAACAGGUAGGUACUGGAAUUUUAAAAAGGGUUGGGUUUUCUGUUCACAUUUUUAAAAAUAACCAAAGUUCUUAAAAGUGGGAAGUAGGUAAAAAUAAGUUCAAUGGAAGAAAUGUUACUAAUUGAAGAACUACUUCUGUAAAUCAGCAAGAUUUGAGGAAAUAUUAAAUGAGGUUCAAGAACUCACAGAUGUCAUAUAACUGAUAUCCAAGGUUAAAAAUGGUACAGAAAAUACAAUAACUCUCAAAGAUGCAACAAAAAUACAGUUAUAUACCUGACCUUUUGCACCAAACUCUGUCUGCAGUUUCAAGCAUUUCUCAAAAUAUUUUUGAUACCACUCGCAAAAACAAUUUUCUAAAUAUAUUUGCAGUUUUAAACUGCACAGUAAAACAAAAAACAAACAAAAAAAACCCUUGCUCCAUAACAGCAUUUAUAUAAGGAUCUUAAAAUGCAUUAGUCUUGCAAGUAUCAUAUAAAAUAAGUUAACAGAAUUAUAUUCAUUUCUGCAGAUCAGUGAAUAGAAAGAAAGUUAUUGAAAUGCAGGUCACAACUGUAACUCCAAACUGAUAACAAGGCCAAAAUCCUUUCCCAUCAAAUUAGACAUUCAUUAUCAAAUAUUAAUAAAAAAUCUGACAGGAAAUCA
rnacentral:lncRNA from 1 species